GUCAGUUUGGUAUAGUGGUUUGAAUGCUGGACUAGGAUUUCUGGAGACUUGGGUUCAAAUCCCCAGUGGAAA